rnacentral:rRNA from 1 species
UACGGGGGGGGGCAAGCGUUGUUCGGAAUUACUGGGCGUAAAGGGCUCGUAGGCGGCCAACUAAGUCAGACGUGAAAUCCCCAGGCUCAACCUGGAGACGCCACCCGAUACUGUCGUGACUAGAGUCCAGUAGGGGAGCGUGGAAUUCCUGGUGUAGCGGUGGAAUGCGCAGAUAUCAGGAGGAACACCGGUGGCGAAGGCGGGUCUCUGGGCAGUAACUGACGCUGAGGAGCGAAAGCGUGGGGAGCGAACAGG